GACGAACGCUGGCGGCGUGCUUAGCACAUGCAAGUCGAACGAAGAGCGAUGGAAGCUUGCUUCUAUCAAUCUUAGUGGCGAACGGGUGAGUAACGCGUAAUCAACCUGCCCUUCAGAGGGGGACAACAGUUGGAAACGACUGCUAAUACCGCAUACGAUCUAAUCUCGGCAUCGAGGAUAGAUGAAAGGUGGCCUCUACAUGUAAGCUAUCACUGAAGGAGGGGAUUGCGUCUGAUUAGCUAGUUGGAGGGGUAACGGCCCACCAAGGCGAUGAUCAGUAGCCGGUCUGAGAGGAUGAACGGCCACAUUGGGACUGAGACACGGCCCAGACUCCUACGGGAGGCAGCAGUGGGGAAUCUUCCGCAAUGGACGAAAGUCUGACGGAGCAACGCCGCGUGAGUGAUGACGGCCUUCGGGUUGUAAAGCUCUGUUAAUCGGGACGAAAGGCCUUCUUGCGAAUAGUGAGAAGGAUUGACGGUACCGGAAUAGAAAGCCACGGCUAACUACGUG
rnacentral:rRNA from 1 species